rnacentral:rRNA from 1 species
GAUGAAUGCUGGCGGCAGGCUUAACACAUGCAAGUCGAACGGGUGUAGCAAUACAUCAGUGGCAGACGGGUGAGUAACACGUGGGAACCUUCCUAGGGGUACGGAACAACUCAGGGAAACUUGAGCUAAUACCGUAUACGUCCGUGAGGAGAAAGAUUUAUCGCCCUUAGACGGGCCCGCGUCGGAUUAGCUAGUUGGUGGGGUAACGGCCUACCAAGGCGACGAUCCGUAGCUGAUCUUAGAGGAUGAUCAGCCACACUGGGACUGAGACACGGCCCAGACUCCUACGGGAGGCAGCAGUGGGGAAUCUUGGACAAUGGGCGCAAGCCUGAUCCAGCCAUGCCGCGUGAGUGAAGAAGGUCUUCGGAUUGUAAAGCUCUUUUGCCAGGGACGAUAAUGACGGUACCUGGAGAAUAAGCCCCGGCAAACUUCGUGCCAGCCGCCGCCGUAA